AAUCAUGGUACUAUUCAUUUUAUCAUUUAUUUUGUCUUAUCGUUAAAACUUAAAGUUUUCAAACUUUUUUAAUUAGUUUUCCUUAAAUAUUAUUGGUCAAAUUUAUAAUAUUUAGUGGUAUCAAUAUAAUCAUAUUGGAUUGUAAAGAUAAAAGUUUGGUGAUUUGUUUUGGACAAAAGAUGGAAAAUUUACCAUCAUGGUAUUACGAAAAGUCAAAUACCCCAACAACAUCACAAAACCCUAAUCAAAACUAAAUAUUUAGUUUUGAUGUCUGUUUCAGCAUAGUAAACAAGGGACUUUGACGGGAUCAAAGUCAGAGAGUAGGACUAGAUGAGUUCGUCAAUAGGCCGAGGUGAGGUGAGCUUCACGGCUGGCAGACCUCCAUUUAUCACUCGAAGCUCUGCUAGCUAGUGAUUAAAAAGGUAAGGUCAGGUUAGUAGUUGUGGUAACCGAGCUGAUCUGGGCAUGUAGAGCUCUCUUCCUUGUUUCCCCAAGCUGACACAUAAAUGUUAUCAGAUCGGUAGUGGUUGUGUAGGGGUUCCUCAGGUGAUUGUCUCUUAUUGGUGCAUUCAGCUUGGAAAGAUUUAGGUGUAAACUUUGGUGAUAUUUGAAUAUCAUGGAAGUUCAUCAUUCUGUGGGUCAAGAAGACUCACAUAAGCAUUUCAGCCUCUUUUUGACCACCAUCGCGCGAUUUAUCAACGUUAAAAAUCGAACCCAGAACGUGCCAUGUGGAAUACGGAUAUGAAAUUCAUCUGCAAUCAUUAAGCCACCCUCAUGGUGGUUGGAUAACAUGAAUAUUUUAACUUUGUCAAAAUUUUAAUAAAUCUGUCCUUAACAAAGAGAAAGAAAAAUACCUUGAAAGGGAAUUAUCGAAUUAUCAAACCACUUGAAAGGGACCAUCGAAGUCCAUAACAUAAUAUAUCAUGUGUGAUGGAAAUACUUCACCUCAUCUCUUGUCUUUGUGUGAUAGGUAUAUUUAAGCACAUUUUUAUAUAUGUUGAAGGAGUGCUUCAACUUCAAGUUUUGAAUUGAGUUAGUUUAACGUACCGAAAUGCCAAAUGGGAUCUUUGCCACUCUGCAUGCGAUAUCUACCAAGCUUUCAAUGAUACUUAAGUUGUCCCUCGUUGCCAUGUCAAAUCAUUUGACAUCACUCUCUUCAAUUAACCCAAAGGCCUUUGCAAAACCUAGUAUUUGACACACUCUCUAAUCUCUAUAUAUGGAGGGACUUGCUUGUUCCUUUCACUAUGGUUGGGAAUAGGAUUUACUAUUUGCAAAAGCACCCUUUUUCUAAAGCACUUUGCCAAAUACACAAACAUUUGUCGCCUCUAUUCAAUGAGAUAGUAUCAAUAUAGAAUCGUAGUGGCAACACCAUUAACGAGUGCGUAUCACCUAUUUGAAAAUUAAAAAUGAAAUAAUACAAAGUCAAUACUGGAAAGACACUGCGUGAUUCUUAAAUGAGAAAUAAGUUGAUGGUAGACUGAUACUAGAAAGCGCUAUAGGGUAGUGAUUACAGACCAAGAUGGUAUCUUCCUUUUUGAAAAUGGGACGAUUUGGUGGUUUCGCCGUGACAUUCCACCCUUUGGGAGGUCGGAAUGACUCAUAGAGGCACUUCCGCCUCUCUCUAGCCACUGUCACGUGGUUCAGCGUAGCUAAAAAUCAAACUCAGGAUGUGGCAUGUGAAAUACGGGGCCUAAAAUUCGUCAACAACCAUUUGGCCGGCCCGUGGUGUUUAACAAGAUGGUAUCUUAAUAACAAUACAAAUUUUGCCAUAUUCACUUGGUAAUUAGUUACAUUAGUCAAACCUUAGAGGUAAUGACUUAGAUAGUGAAUGUAUAUUAUUUUAAUUUAAAACAUGACCCCAAGUUUUUUAGUUUGGUAUCUAAAACUCCUUUGCUCAUAAAAUUAAAGUAAUUUCAUAGAUUUUCUUUAUUAUUUAACUGAUACAUUUAAAAGAUAAAUAGUAUGACGAGUUGUGCAUUCAAAUUAGUUAGUCCAUUCAAAUUAAUUAGAUUAAGAAACCAUGCGUUCUUGAGGAGGCAAAAAACAUACAACUCCGGUAAAUUAAUGUUUGUUUCGAGAUUUUAGCACUGAAGAAUAGGUAUAACAUUCUUUUAUUCGGUUAGUGCUCUUAAUCUUCCCAAUAAUCUCAAUAGUAGAAGAAAGAGGUGGAUUUUCUGAGUAUUUUAUUACCAAUAAUCUCAAUAUCUUUUGUAGGUUUGAUAAUUUUAAUAGCUUUGUUUUGAUACAAACGACAUUGGAAAAGAGUGAAUUUGUCUCAAAAUCUCGAUGAUAAUAAAUAAUACUUUUAAUUAACUGAACUAUAAAUUCCUCGCGUAAUUUAAAAAAAUGGGUAUAAAAUUCAAGGCUUAAAUGUCAAAAUGGUUCCUAUAUUUUACUGUACCGGUCAAUUUUGGUUUUCAUGUUUUUAAUUUGGCCAAAUUAGUUCCCGUGCUUAUCUAUGUUAGCCAAUCCUAAACAAUUAAUUAAAGAACCAUUAAAAUUGACAUGUGCCUUACACGGGAUCGUCAUUCAUUUGAUCUUGUGGGGGUUUAACGGGUUUACAAUAGAGUUACAUUUCUGUCCUCUUACGCGCAAGGCAUAUGUCAAUUUGAACAGUCAUUUAACGGAUUGUCUAAGAUUGGUUAACGAAAGUAAACAUAGAGACCAAAUUGAAAAAACACAGAGGUUAUUUUAACAUUUAAAAAGCCAAAAUUCAAUACACAAUCAUUACAUUACAUAAGGACUAUAAAUUGUUAUAGGACUUAAUUAUGAGGAUGGAAAUUAAAUAGAGGGAUUUUAGAAAUCUUGGAGAUGCAUCAUAACACAGGUAAUGAAACUCAAACACACCUGGCUAUGGUCAUGCUUGCUAAAUGCCACCUAAUCGCUCUGAGUUCAUGCAAAUAUUAAAGAUAUUCAAAAUUCAAAGGCGGCGGACCACUCAACCGCAUUGCUCUCCCAACACUUUUUAUUAAUCUAAUCUAAAAUUAACAUUUUAAUCUUUUAGAUUAACCUUUUAAUUUCUCUCUCUCUCUCUCUCUCUCUCUCUCUCUCUCUCUCUCUCUCUCUCAUCCUUUGCAACGGUUACUUUUCUGUUCUUCUUCCACCAAUGUCCUGAUUGUAACCUUUUUAAUACUAUUUCCAUCGUUUUAAAUAUGUUGGUAGGUGACAUUAUAAAAGUUGAUGUUUCUACUUUUUUAUUAAUUAAAGGUGAAGAUGGGAGUGAAUAAGUUCAAAGGGAAAUGAAGAUAAAUCCACUACCAAAGUUAUAGUUCUCAUGACAAUAAUUUUUAAUUGUUCAUUAAUACACUUGAAAAAAAUUAAAAUUAAUGAAAAAUGUUGGGAGAGAAAUGCGGUAAUAGAUGGAUUGCAAGACUUCUUAAAAAACUACAAAAAAUGACCAGAGGUCUCGGAUUCGAAACCCGCUGUUGGUCUGGAAGCUAAACUUGUAGACAUGAGGAGAUUAAAAUAUCUGUGUGAAUCUUUUCGACCCUCGGAAGGAGUGGAUAACCCUAAUUUGAUGGAAAUGAUAGAAAUACUAAAAAACGUAUAAAUUUAAAAUGAAAGAUAGUUUGUCAAAUAUGUCAAUUUUUGUCGAAAUUUGAGAAUUUCUUCCAUAUGGAGUGAAGUUUAACCUUUGAUCCCUUUUCCGUAUCUUCUUAUGACUUUUGAAAUAUUCACAAAAAUAUCGACCAUCUCAUUUAAUUGCGGAUGAUUACUCCACGAUAUAGAAUUUAUUUACUCCCAGGAAAGGCAAAUGGGUAAACAGUAACAGUGAGUUCUCCUCCUCACCGGCAAAGUGGCGGGUAGGGUAGUGUUUUGAUUACCGGAUCCCAACCCCACCCACAACACUUUCAUUCAAUAAUUUCCGCUCCAAACCAAUUAAACGUCUCUUUUUAUUUCAAGUUCACUUCUUUCCAAAUUUUCCAUUUGAAAAACGAGAGAAAACAAAAUCGAAAACGAAAUUCGGAAAACGAAAUUAUUUUCUCGUCUUCCAGGAAAUAGCUCUCGCACACCGACCUGGAUUGGAAUCAAGUUUCACUUUUUUCUUCUUCCCAAAACUUCUCGACGCGUCGGUGGGUUCCAGUUGCUGACUCGUUCUCCAACUUCUUCGUGUAUUUAAAUCAAAGACUCGAUUUUUCGCAAAACCCAGAAUUCAAAUUUCCGUUCUUCGCAAAACCCAGAAUUCAAAUCUUUUAUUUUUUUGUGUGUGUUUGAUCUCUGCUUGCUGGUAAAUUCUGUAGUUUUGAAAUUUUUACGAACUUGGGGAUGAGGAGGGCCAAAUUGGAUAGAUUCGGCACCUUCUUCUCUGUCAAUAGGCAAAGAUCGAUUCAGAUUCUGAUCGCUGUCGGAUUUCUGUAUCUACUAUUAGUCACGGUUGAAAUCCCCUUCGUGUUCAAAACUGGUUUCAGUACAAUCUCGCCGGACUCGUUGUCUCGACCCAUCAGGCUCCAUAGCAAGGAAGACGUGGAGGAAAAGGACGCCCCAAGUCGCCCUCUUGAGCAAGUUUCGCAGAACUCGUACCAGCCGACUCAGAGUCGGCGACCCAGAGAGCCCAAUUUUGUUUCGGGUUUAGUAUUCGACCCGAAAACUUUUGAUUCGGAGCUUUACAAGCCAGCGAAGGUUGCCUGGGAAGUGGGGAGGAAGUUCUGGGGAGAGGUGGAAUCUGGAAAGGUGCAGAUAGAUGCUGGAAAGGUGGAGAACCGAUCUGAGGCAUGCAAGCAUUCGAUUUCGGUAUCUGGGUCGGAGUUUUCGGCACAGGGGAGGGUGAUAGUACUGCCGUGUGGGCUGACAUUGGGUUCGCACAUAACGCUUGUGGGGAGGCCGAGGGCGGCGCACCAGGAGUUUCAGCCCAAGAUUGCCCUGCUGAGGGACGGUGAGUCGGCGAUGGUUUCGCAGUUUAAGGUAGAGUUGCUGGGGUUGAAGACUGUGGAGGGUGAGGAGCCACCGAGACUUUUGCAUUUCAAUCCAAGGUUGAAGGGGGAUUGGAGUGGAAGGCCUGUGAUUGAACUCAACACUUGUUACAGGAUGCAGUGGGGCGCGGCGCUUCGAUGCGAGGGCUGGAAAUCUAAGGCUGAUGAAGAAACUGGUGAGUGAUUAUCAAUGUCCUAUAACGUUAUAUACUGGAAAUGCUAGAUAUGAAACUUGUAAAUUGUUCUGUUUAUGUUGGUUUGGUACAUUAGUUUCUGUUUUGAGCUUUUCGCAUUCAUUGGAUUUGGAGCAUUGCAAGUAAGCUACUGAAAUGGGAAUAAAAACAGCAUUUGAAUUUGUAUGAAGUGUGGUAUUGUGCCAGCUUGAUAUGCAGAAUGCGGUGUCGAUUUUCAAAAUUCAAAGUGUGUUUGAGUUGUUAUGUUAUUAGUGCUUAACUGCUCAUUGAUAAUAUGUACCAGAAGAAUGAUAUGAAAAUGACACGAUUUUUGUUUUCCUAUUCAGGAAGAAAUUUAUUGUUUUGGGUUGUUGGCUCGUUAUCUUGCAUCUUUCGAUUAUUGGCCAUUUUUCUCAUUAUUCCCCGAGUUAAUUCAUCUUUGAUGCCGCACCACCAAGUUGUGUAAUUCUUUAGACUGGUUUUAGUUGAUGGUCAGGUGAAGUGCGAGAAAUGGAUUCGUGAUGACGACAAUCACUCAGUGGAGACCAAGGCAACAUGGUGGUUGAGCCGGUUAGUAGGCAGAACUAAAAGGGUACCUGUUGACUGGCCAUACCCGUUUGCAGAGGAGAAAUUGUUUGUUUUAACUCUUAGUGCUGGCUUGGAGGGUUAUCAUGUUAAUGUUGAUGGGAGGCAUAUUGCCUCUUUUCCUUAUCAUAAUGUGAGUAAUAUUCUGCUACCUCUACCUCGUGAUGAUUGAGGAUUCUUUGCUAAGAGUUUAGUUGUGAUGUCGACAGGGAUUUUCGCUUGAGGACGCCACUGGGUUGUCUCUGAGUGGGGAUGUUGAUCUGCACUCGGUAUUUGCCGCUUCUUUGCCCUCAUCCCAUCCUAGUUUUGCUCCACAGAAGCAUCUUGAGAUGUCAACCAGAUGGCAGGCCCCGCCUCUUUCUGGUGGUGGUGUUGAACUCUUCAUUGGUAUCCUUUCUGCAGGCAACCAUUUUGCCGAGAGGAUGGCGGUAAGGAAGUCUUGGAUGCAACACAAUCUUAUCAGAUCAUCAAAAGUGGUUGCUCGUUUCUUCGUAGCAUUGGUAAGCAAUAGCAAUAAUGACACUUGAAAAUUUGUAGUUGGUUGUGUACAAUGUUUAAGUGGGAGACUCACAACCUUUUCAAUUGAUACUUGACAGCAUGCUAAAAAGGAAGUGAAUGUUGAGCUAAAGAAGGAAGCAGAGUUUUUUGGCGAUAUUGUUAUAGUGCCGUACAUGGAUAACUAUGACUUGGUCGUCUUGAAAACUGUUGCUAUCUGCGAGUAUGGGGUGAGUUUUGGAAUAAACACAUAAAUGAAGAUUCGAUACUGUACAGUAUUCCCUGGAAAUGGUUUUCUAAUAAUGGUGUUGCUUCUGUUUCAGGUUCGUACCAUGGCUGCUAAGUACAUUAUGAAGUGCGAUGAUGACACGUUUGUUAGAGUAGGUGCCGUUAUCAGAGAGGCACAUAAAGUACCAGAGGGAAGGAGCUUGUAUGUGGGGAACAUAAAUUACUACCAUAAGCCUCUGCGCUAUGGUAAAUGGGCUGUCACAUAUGAGGUAUGUACAAACUUAUUGUUUCUGAUACAUGAUAUGUAGUGAGAUUGUCGACCCUACUACUACAUGUAGCUAGUUCUCAUUUGCUUCAGUUUAUCGAUAUUCUUUCUGCUUUGGAUUUUUUCUGUUUUUUUUUUAAUUUUUUUUAAUUUUUUUUAAUUUUUUAAUUUUUGGGUGGGGAGUGGGAAUUAAAAAAUAUAUUUCGAAGAAUGUUAAUUAUAUCAGAUUUAUUGUCUGUGAUAUUGACUUGUAAGAAUCUUUAUUCUGUUGAAAUCUUGUUAAAGAGUGUUGAUGUUGUAUUAUGUUCAAUUUCUUGCAUUGUUUUGCGCUGAUGCUUGUUUUUGAUAUUAGUAUUCAUAGCCAUUUGUUCUCUGUUUUCUUGUUUCAGGAGUGGCCAGAAGAAGACUAUCCACCUUACGCAAAUGGACCAGGUUACAUCUUGUCAUCUGACAUUGCAAAGUUCGUAGUAUCCGAGUUUGAAAGGCGUAAAUUAAGGGUAAGUAACAUCCACGCCCUUUCUCUACUUCACGCAUGCACGCACACACCGAUAUGAUAAUGUAAUGGGUGGUUGUUCUAAACAAUUUGAUCCUUGUGCAGUUGUUUAAGAUGGAAGAUGUGAGCAUGGGAAUGUGGGUUGAGAAAUUCAACAGCUCAAAACCAGUCGAGUACAGGCACAGCUUGAAGUUCUGCCAAUUCGGGUGCAUCGAAGAUUAUUACACCGCCCAUUACCAGUCUCCUAGACAGAUGAUGUGCAUGUGGGGCAAAUUGAAACAACUCGGACGACCGCAGUGCUGCAGCAUGAGAUAGUAUUUGUGGUUUUUCAUGACCCCAUCUCGAGAAUCUAGGACAUUGAAGUUUUUUGCAGUUAUAGCACCGUGUGAUCUGGUCCCUGUACAAAAAGAAACGGCCUGUAUAAAAAGAAAUUUCGUUUCCAUAUUCUUUCAUUGGUACUGCUCUUCAUCAUUCAUCAUCGUCUUCCUCCCGAGAUUCUUUCGUUGGUACUGCUCUUAGUUUCUUUCCUUUUUGACCUGAUGUUCCGGACUCCCAGGAGGAAGACGACGAUGAAAGACGAAGAGGUCGAGGUCGAGUUCGAUGGAUGUGUGUGUGCAGGGAACAUUUCCAGACAAAGAGCUAGACAUGUGCCAACUGAAAAGUAUAUUUGCUUCACAUGGACAUGGAUCUUCAAACGACAAAUCGUACUGGUGUUUUUGGCUGUCAACGAGUUUGGUUUCAGUGCUCGACAACCUUGGUCGUCAAGUUUCUCCAACCAGUUUAAUUAACAAAAACACAAGUUGGUUUCAUAUUUUUAUUGCUUAUGGAGUCACCAACUGUUUUUAAUAUGAUCUGUCUUUUAUUUUUUGGUAUUAUACUGUUAACGUUUGAUGGCGAUUUCGUGUCCGAACCCGCGUAUCGGGCAUUCUAUAUAAACCCCAUUGGGCUGUACACUCCAUUUUUAGGUAGGAAUUCUGUUUGUGCACAAUUAAGACUAGUCAUCUGAGGAGAGAGAUAAAAACGUAAUUGUGUAAUUGUAUAUAAUUGGUGACACCAAAUACUGAAACAUUAGGGUUUAUUAUAAGAAGAAAGAAAUCUUUGAUACAUUUCCCAGUUUUAAUGAUGUUACCAUCAAUGAACAAUAAUAAGAAAUCUGAAUUAUCUCCCUCUUCCUUUGUAUUGUAUCAUGAGUUUUUCAUUAAAGUUCAUUCAUUAUGGAAAAUUAAUAAAAAAAAGCUUGAAAACUUUGAGUUUUAACGAUAAGAACAAAAUAAAGGGCAACGUGAAUAGUACCAUGAUUGAUUUUUUAGUGUAAAAAUGUGGUUUUUCGUUAAAGUGAACAGUAAGUGAGUUUUUCGUUAAAGUUCUCUUAUUAUUAUGUACUUGCUUUUUUUGGAUCAAUAUAAUUAUGUACUUACUAAUCGUAUAACAUAUAUUCAAUAAUUUUUUUUAUUGUCAAACUCAUUACUACGGUCUGAUGAUAUUCAUUUUCACUCAAAAAUGAGAAGUCUUAGGUUCAAAUUCACUUAGAAGUGAGAAAUCUUAGGUUUGAAUCUCGUGAAUGGUGAAUUCGAUAUCAAAUUAGGCUGCCCAUUACGUAGUUUAGUGUGUGUGUAUGUGUGUGUGUGUGUGUAUAUAUAUAUACAUGUAUUCAAUUUUCUUUUUGUAAGUGGUUGUUAUUAGAACUCACAUUAGUGUGGAAUACGAUGUGAUGUGUUAGUAUUGUGUUAUAAGUCCAUAAAAUACUACAUCAAACACACACAGAUAAGUAGACGUUUUAUCAUUUGUGUAACACUAAGCAUGCCUUGUAUACCAGAUCAACCUUUUUGUGUAUCUUUUUGAGAAACCCUAGAAUUAUUUUUGCCGAAAACAACUUACUAGAACGGAAGUGAAAUAUUGAAAAAUCCGAAAUAAUCAUGUCACAUGAUUUAUUUUGUAUGAAAACUUUAACAAAAUUAAGGUAUGAUGACAUAUUAAUAAUUUCAUAAAAUUGGUACAACAAAUCGUUUAAAAUUUUGUCGUAUAAUAAAUUAAGAAAAAAAUGUAUACGUUCAUAUAACAUUUCAAAAAUUCUCCGAAUCAGAUAUGCAAUUAAAUUACGUAUCCAAAUCCUUAUUCCAGCUAAUUUGUUCAUUGAACCUAACCCCCAUCAAAUCCAAAAUAAAUUCCUACCCCCUAUCCAAACAUUUAAUUUGUUGGAUAAAGUUGCAAAAAAAAAUAAAUAAAUAAAUAAAAGCCACCCCUAAAAUUACCAUAUCCACCUCUCCUUCCUCCUCCUUCCCCCCCAAACGUCUAUAAAAACCCUCCCUUUACCGCUCACAAGAUUUACAGUUUCACAGCAAACAAAAAGAAUUUUAAAAAAUCAUAACGGUCUGAAGGGCUCCGACAAAACAAAAAUCCUUAAAAGAAAUCGAAAAAAAAUAACGUUGUUUUGGUGGAGUUAUGUCGGACACGUUUUGCCGCGACUGUAAUAGUCUGACGGAGGUUGUCUUCGACCACAGAGCGGGCUACGCGAUAUGCUCCGAGUGCGGCCUCGUACUGGAGGCGCAUACCGUCGACGAGACCGCUGAGUGGCGCUCCUUCGCAGACGAUUCCAACGACAAAGACCCGAACCGUGUCGGCGGACCCGUUAACCCGCUUUUGUCAGAAGCUGGGCUUUCCACCGUCAUCGCCAGGCCCAGAAAUGGCGGCUCCUCCUCCGAAGCCUUGCCCUCCUCCGUCGGGAAGUGGCAAGGCCGCGCCUCUAAGCCGGACCGUCAUCUUCUCGACGUCUUCGGUGCAAUUGCCGUGAUGGCCGACAGGUUUGGUUUUUUGCUUUGCAUGCUCUAAUUUUACUUGUUUUUGUUAAUUAACUUAAUUUGUAUUUGUUUGGUGGCUCGGACAGUGAAAGGAAAAGGGUAGAAAUUUUUUUGUUUGGAUUGUAUUUUCGAAAAGAGUAGGAUUUUCUCUUAUUUUUUUAUAUUUUUUUAUUUAAAGGGUUAUAAUUAAAUAACGUUAACAUCUUGUUUUGAAUUUUUUAUAUAAAAAAAAAGUGUGAGAGAGGGAAAGAGUAGAGAAUGAUACUAAGAUGGAAGAAAAUCCUACCCUUUUUUUAAAGGAAACUUUAAUGAAAAGAUCCGGUACUGUUCAUUUUAAUGAAAACUCAUAUUUUUAUAUUAAAAAAUCAUGGGAACUUUCAUGAAAAGGGUUUGGACUAAGUUUAUUUUAAUAAAAAACCAUGCUAUAACUUUAUUUAAUUAAAAAGACUAAAAUUUUAAUGAAAAACCCUUAAAUUUUAAUAAAAAGGACAAAAGAACUUAAAUUUUAAUGAAAAAGACAUAAUUUUAAUAUUAAAAAAAAAAAUCUGAUGCGCGGACCCAUGUGUCCUCACACUGUUUAUGGAACUUCUACACUGCUUAUGGAACUUACGACAUUAUUUAUGAAACUUACUGCACUGUUUAUGAAAACUUACGACACUGUUUAUGAAACUUACUAGAUUAUUUAUGAAACUUAAUGGUACUACAUUCUUCUCUCUCGUCUUCUUGAAUAUUCUUAGCACAUUCUCACUUUCCAAACACAUCUUAUUCUUCUAAUUUUCUUCGAUACUCAUUAAAAUACAAAGAUUUAAAAGCAAUUUUCAUUAAUUUUCUUAGAAAAAUAUACACAUAUAUUUAUCCUUUUGUCGCCAAACAUCAAUGUGAUGACGUAUUUAAAUUUCUCCUCUUCACAUGUCGAUGUCCAAUGCAUAAAAAAUUGAAGCACCGAAACGAAAAUCAAACAAAAAUUUGUCUGCCAUGUAAGAUAAAGCAUCAGUGUUCCUUCAUCUGAAACUCCACUUGUAAUUACCUAGAUAGUUUGAACUUGAAGCAUUUAGCAUUGUGGCUAUGCUUGCGCGAAAGUGCGAUAGGUUGGUCGAUUUCAUUCAAUGUUUCAUAGGUUGUAGUUGAUGUGCAACAAGUCGAUUUGAAUUAAAUUUGGGUUCGGAUGCAAGUUUGACAAGACCAUGUAUAGUAAACAUGCAACUUGCAGAAGCGAAGUUGUUUGAUAAGAGUAUUGGGUGAUUGGGUGGUUGGGUGGGUGAGGGCGCGCGCACAGCGCGACUUUUUUUUUAAUGUUUAUUUAUUUAUUUUUUUUUGUCCUUAUCAUUAAAUAAAGUUAGUGUAUGGUUUUUCAUUAAAAUGCAAAAAUUUGAAACCCUUUUCAUUAGUUUUCCUAAAAAUCAAUCAUGACACUAUCACUUUACUCUUUAUUUUGUCUUUAUCGUUAAAACCCAAAGUUUUCAAGUCAUUUUCAUUAGUUUUCUUUUUUUUGGGAACUUUAAUGAAAAGCUCCCGAUAUUGUUCAUUUUAACGAAAAACCACAUUUUUACAUUAAAAAGUCAAUCCUGGUACUAUUCACUUUACCCUUUAUUUUGUCAUUAUCGUUAAAAUUCAAAAUUUUCAAGCCUUUUUAAUUAGUUUUCUUUUUUUGGAAUCUUUAACGAAUAGCUCUAGGUAUUGUUUAUUUUAACGAAAAACCACAUUUUUACACUAAAAAAUCAAUCAUAAUACUAUUCACUUUACCCUUUAUUUUGUCCUUAUCGUUAAAACUAAAAAGCACUGCAUCACUAUCAUGUCAUCAACAGUGAGCCCAUGUGGGAUUGCGUCCCUAGAAAACACUUACGCUCAAAAGUGCUUCUAUUAGAAGUGCCUUUAUGAUAAGCAUGUUGACUUGUUUUAAAAAAUCCAAAGUUUUGUUAAAAGGCACUUGAAAGUACUUUUUGAAAAAGCAUCUAGCAUGUACUUCUUCAUAGAACGCUUCUACGAGCUAUAAGUAUUUACAUUUAAAUUUUUUUAGCAAACAUAGUUUAAAGCGUUUUUGGCUUUUAGAAUGUACUUGCUCUUCUGGCUCAAUUGGGAACAUAAUCUGAUGCAAUGUGUUGGGUUUUCACUGCAGGUUGGGACUUGUUACAACCAUAAAGGUAUAUCAGUUGAUAUUUUAGCAUCAUUUUCUUUGUGUUUUGGUUUGUCAAUUGAUUUAUUUUCAACUGGAAAUGUGUAAAAUGCAUUUUUGGUCACUGUCCCAUUUUGUGGCUAAUUACAAGGAUGUUAGGUAAUGAAUGGUUUGUUCUUUCAGUUUAUGAUUGGUUGAGGCUAGUUGAUGGGUUGAAACAAUGAAAAUGGCAACUCUUAUAAUGAUUUACGAUAUAAGUUGAAUGAAAAGCUAUCGUUUUUGUCCGGCUACUUCAUUAAGUUUCGUUUUUGUCCCGCUAUUUCAUCAAAUUUUCCCUGAUCAUCCCUUAGUUGUAUCCUGCAUUUGAGUAAAUGCAGUACGUAUAAGUUAAUUCCUUGAUGUAAUUAUGUUAGUGUUGUAUGAUGAAGAAUUUCAUUUCAUUUUGAAUCGAUGGGAUGAAUCUAUAUUUAUCAUUUUCAUGGUUUAGUGACAUGUCUGUGACUUCUUUGUGCAUGUCUGAGGACUUCGUUUUGAGAUUGAUUGCGCACAAUUUCUUGAAUCUAUUUAGUAUUUGGUCAUUAGUUUUUGGUUGGUAACUCGGUAUUCCAACACAUUCAUUGAAGUUGCAAUUUUUCAGUGUUUUUGAUGUAGUGUCUUCUGAUGUAGAAUUAUUGUGUGAUCUCAUAUAUUAGUUUCAACUUCUUAUUAGGGGGUUUAUGCUCACAGCAUUUGAAAUUAAUCUUUAUUUGACUAAAAGUCUAAAACCUUCUGUUUCGGAUUGGUAAUCUUUAUGGUUUUUUUUUAAUUCUGACGACCAGGAUCGAGCCAAUGAAAUCUACAAGAAGGUAGAAGAUCAAAAACCUCUCCGAGGGCGAAAUCAAGAUGCAGUUGUGGCUGCUUGCCUUUACAUUGCUUGUAGACAAGAAAAUAAGGCUCGUACUAUGAAAGGUAGAAGCGCAUGUUUGUGUUCGUAAUAAUUUCAAUUGGUUUUGCUUAUGUUUAUGAGCACGGGAUUUACUAAACUUGUGUUCCGACCAGAAAUAUGCACCGCAGUCAGUGGAGCUACCAAGAAGGAAAUUGGACGGGCAAAAGAGUUUAUUUUGAAACACCUGGAGGCCGAGCUUGGUCAGGAAAUGGGAACUAUCCAUGCUGGAGAUUAUCUGGUGAGUUUUUUUUAGGAAAACUAAUGAAAAUGGCUUGAAAACUUUGAGUUUUAAUGAUAAUGACAAAAUAAAGGGUAAAAUGAAUAGUAUCAGGUUUGACUUUUUCGUGUAAAAAUAUGGUUUUUCGUUAAAGUGAACAGUAUCACAAUCUUUUUUUUAAAACUCGUUUUUUUUUUUAUAUUUCCCGUCUCUUUGCGUUUCAAUAUUUUAUUUUCUUUUUGGAAUGUAAUUUGCUUGAGAACAUAAUUAUCGCAUUUUCUCUGCAGAGACGCUUUUGUUCCAAUCUUGGAAUGAAGAAUCGAGAUGUCAAGGCUGCCCAAGAAAUGGUGCAGAACAUUGAAGAGCUUGUUAUAAGGUUGUCCUCCGCCAGUUCACAACAAUCUUGUUACAUAAUUCAUGAUCUUUUUAGCUUGAACCUUUUGUCUGGGCUUCCUCGCCCUCAAUAAGUGUUUUUUGGUGUGUGUGUGUGUUGGGAUGACGUCUGGCCAUUGUGGUAGUGUCUUUGUUCUGUUGUUCUCCCUCACAUAACCGUUUGUCUGUUUUGCUGUGCUUGCCCCUUGUGUGGGCUUUCUUUGUUCCGUUGGCUCUUGCCUGGUUAAUCUUAUCCAGUCUUUCCAAAAAAAAAAAAAAAAACCUAACAAGGGGAGAGUCCUUACAUAUUUCGCAGUAACGAAUUUUCUUAGACCGAGUCUAAGAAUUUCCUCCUUCGGAUACAAUUUUGGAUAUGAAGUAUUGCAAAUACUUCAAUCCAAUAGAAAUUGUACCCAACCAAAAUCCCUGGAUUUCAAAACUUUCAACCGAAUCGAAGCAUUAACAGCAUUAGAUGGCUUCUUUUCAACUUCAUGGAAGUAAUUAAGGUCCUGUCUUCUGCAGGAGGAGCCCCAUAUCGGUGGCAGCUGCCGUUACUUAUACCAUUAAUCAACUAUCAGAUGAGAAAAUGUCUCUUAAAGGUUAGGAAUCUAUGUGACCUAUCGAUUAUUCUCUUGGAAAAGCCUGUAUUAAUUUUGUUUUGUUGCAGAGAUCUCGAUUGCUACUCAAGUUGCCGAAGGGACGAUCAAGAACUCCUACAAAGACCUGCAUCCUCAUCUAGCAAGGAUAAUACCGAACUGGUUCGCCAACGAGGACUGUGUCAAGAAUCUGCAGCCCUAGAACUUGAAGGUGGUGAUCAUAGUUAAAUUAAGUAGGAACAAUUUGAAAUCAAUAAUAUAUGCAGGAAGCAUCAGAAAGUGUAGUUUUUUUAUCUUUCGUUGUAUGAAGCGAUUAGGAAUUCGUUCUUUCUGCCUUUUCCUUGUACUGUUUUUUUCAUUUCAUUGUAAAUAGAAUGAAUUAGGGUUUUCCUUGAUGAGUAUUAUAGCUAGGUGCCCAAAUUAGGGUCCAAAUCUAUCUUCAUGACCGGAGGAUUUACAGUUCUCUCCUUGCUUCCUUUGCCUCUUACAGAAUUCAAAGGCAUACGAUAAAACUGUAAAGGUGACAGUUUCAAAGGCAUUAAGAAGCUUUUGGAAAGGGAUUAUCUCCAAAUCCUUUCUACGAAAUUCUCCUCAUCAAUUAAUCCGAGAUCUUGAAAUUUGAUCAAAUGGUUACAAAGAGGGCUCAUUUUAAAAGUUACUAGCCUACACACUUUGUGUAUAUAAACAUAUUUUUUUAGAAAAUGGGAAGGGAAAAGAGAGAGAGAGAGAGAGAAAACGUGGGGGGAGUAUAAGGUUUUUAUUUUUUAUUUUUUUUUAAAUUUUAAAUAUUAAAGAUAUUUUAACAUCAUUUUUAUGUGAGAUUUAAAUAAAAAAUAGUAAAAUUUGGACUUGUGAAAUUACAUUAUUAUCCAUCAUUUUUUUUUAUGUGUGAUAAAAGACUAAAUUGUCUUUUACUCUCUUUUGAUUGACAAAUUUUUUUUUAUUAAUUAAUAGAGAUAAUAACUUUUAACUGUUGAAUAAAAAAACUUGAUGAAAGGGAUCUAGAAAGGAUCCCCUUCCGAAGCUUUAAAGUACGAUGGUCAUACCGAAAAAAUAUUCGUGCUAACGAGGGUUCGAUGUUUUUUGUUCUCUUGUGAGUUAUUAUGUUACAAAUACGUACCAUCAUGGCCAGUCCAAUAAUUUCAAAUUUUGGGGGAAGACAUGGAUUGUCUGCCCUUUUAUUUUUAGUGUCCUCUUAUUUUAUAUGAUUACGAUUAAAUUACGUUAAUAUUUUAUAUUUUUUUAUAAAAAUAAUAAAAUUAAAAUAAAUAGUAAUAUAAAAUAUUAAAAUAAUUUAACCGUGAUUACAUAAAUAAAAAAAUACAGAAAAAUAUCAAAAGUGGAACGGCUGUCCAACCAUCAUGGUAGUUGAUGGCAAAUUUCUGCGAAUCCACAGCAUGCAAUGUUGCCACGUGAGUAACGUGAUUUGUGACCUGAAAGCCUGUAACUACUUGUCUUCUUCUUUCUCCUUCACCAACCAUGUGAGAAGGCUUAACAAAUGCCACGUAUAUAUUUUCCUUGGAGUUCUGAUGUGUACGAGGGAGUUUUAAGAGCACUUUCAGUUUCAACGUAGGAAGGCUUAUUUGGGCAAUAAACAACUUAAUCUUUUUAAAUGAACAAUAUUAUUUAUAAUGAAUUGUAAAUGUUUAAGUGUAUUUUUAUUCUUAAAUUGAAUAGCUCGGGUAGUUUGUAAAAAAUAUUAGUAUUUUUUAUUUUAUAAAAUAAUAAAAGAUAACGUUAUUUUUAAUUACAAACAAUAAUGAAAGAUUAAUUAAAAGUAUUCAAAAAUAUUGAAAUGUAAUGUAAUGUGGGAGAAUAUGGUUAUGUAUUUAUAGAAAAUAAAUUAUAAACUUUUAUAUUUUUAAUUAGUUUUUUAUAAUUUUUAAUAAUUUAAAUCGUGGCGUUAUGAUCACGUUACCCUUACAUCACAUAGGCAGAGUGCUGGGCUAGGCGAUUAUUGCCUGACUUUUCCAUCGGACUCGCCUUGGAUCCAAUUGCUCGAGUGGGCUAGGUGUUUUGGAGAGGGAGAAGAGUGGAUUGGAUUGCCUAUCCCCAAAAUCUAAUUAGUAAAAAGAUGAUUUUCCACAAAAGAAAGUGUAAAGCUAAGCUAAAAUAAGAAACAUUAGGAAGACAAGGACCCCACAAUCCUUUUCAAAAGAAUUUUUUUCUUCAGUGUGCCGAGAAUAUAUCUUGAUACACUAAGGGUCAGUUUGGGAUUGAUGUGCUUUUUAAAAAAACUGCUUCUGUUGUUGUUGACCCUAGAAAUUACAAAGCCUACGUGGCGCGCAGGCCGAGUAUUUUCUAAGCUAACUACGUCCUUCGGUGAUUGCGAGGCGUGCCAACUCGUCGGCCGAGCUUGGCCGAGGAGUAAAUUUGAUGAUGUUGCGUUGAGCGCGCUGCUGACUUCUGUGUCUUGCGAUUGCGGCCGAGGAAGGAACAAUUCUCGGCCUCUUGGGUUCUAGAGCCUGAAGACAAGGCUGCUAAUUUGCGAAGUUCAAUCUCAAAUUCGGCUGUCAAUGUGCCGAAUACAGUAACCUGGUAACACCUCACUUCGCCGAGAAGGCUGAUGAGAUGACCUCGACCAAUAAGGAUUCGGAAAUCCUUCUCGACCGAGACUUGGAUAGGUAACCAGUCGUCCUCGCCGUAGUGCUGUUGAUGCCAACGGAAGAUGCUGCGAGAUCGGCUGAUUCUACGGUGACAGAGCUAUCUAUGCCGACUUAAGAUAUCACCGGUUGCCUUCACAGUGCUGUUGAUGCCAACGGAAGAUGUGUCGGCGAAAAAAGAAAAUAAAAAAUCUCAAGGUGUUGAGAAAGUUUGCGCAGGGCAGUUUUGUGUGUGUGUUGGAGAGUCCACUGAAUGAUGCACAGCCUCCUCUAUUUAUAGCACUAGAUACCUUUGAAGUCGAGUCAAAACCCUACUCGAACUAGGUCUUCUUCUCCGGAUCAAACACCCACUCGACCAGUCCUAUGUUUACUAGGAUUGUGAGCCUAGUCCUCUAUUGAGCCGGAUUCACUUCCGGGUUAUUACCCUUGCCGAGACUCCUUAUCGCGUUAGGACUCGACUAGUAAAUGUAAUAUGACCUAGCCGACCUAGGUUUAGGAGCCCACGUACUAAAUGAUCCAAGGCUCCCCUGUCGCCAGGCCUCCCGGGCCGAGAGUGGUUCUAUACUCGGCCCAACAUGUUAAUUUGAGCCCAAACAUUCUUACUUGAGGAUAUAAUUUGCAUCAUAUCCAUCCCGUUUAAGAAUAUGUCAAGAUAAUUCAAAUUAAAAGAUAAUUAUGAUAAAAACCAUAAUAUUAUCUUUUAACAAAAAUAUUUUCACUUUUCCAUCCGACGGCUGAGAACUAUGUUUACUCUACGGUCUCGAUUACACGGGCCGAUGAUGUAAAUUUGGGUCCAAACAGUUGUGCUUUAAGAAAAAUCAGCUGUAAAAUAAAGCUGACGAGCGUUUGGCUAAUUGAAUUUUAAAAGUGUUGAGAGUGUAAAAAGCAGCGUAAAAGUAUUUGGUAAAAUUUAAUGUAAAAGUGAUAUAAUUGUAUACAAUAACAAAUGGACAUAGUAGUAGGAGUGGGGAUGACGACAUCAGUGGUGGUAAUGAUGGUGGUGGUUGCGGUGGUGGAGGUGUAGUGGUGAUGCUAAUAGUGGGAUGUGUUGGUUGGGAUGGAGAGGUUACAAUGGUGGUAAGGUGGUGGUAGCACCGGUAGUGGCGGUUGUGGUUGCGGUGGUAGUGGCGGUGGUUGCGGUUAUGGUGGUAGUGCCAGUGGCGAUGGCGGCAAUGAUUGUGGUAGUGGCGGCUGCGGAAAUGAUGGUGGUUAUGGCAGUUGUGGUUGUGGUGGCAGUGGUGGCGGUUGCGGUAAUGAUGCAUGUUGGUGGUGGUGACAAUGGCAGCAUCGAUGGUGGUGACAAUGGUGGCAGUGGUGGUGGCAGCAAUGGUGGUGGUGGAGGUAAUAAUGGUGGUGACAGUGGUGGAGGUUGUGGUUAUGGCGGCGAUGGUGGCAAAAAAUGGUGGUUGUAAUGGCAAUGAAGGUGUAAGGUUAGUAUUUGUAGUGGUAGGGGUAUCGUCUACUUUUCUCAUUAAAGGAUAAAAUGUGUGUGGAAAGCUAAAUAAUGUCACUUAAAAAGAAUUAAUGAAGGUCUACAACAAUUGAAUAUAUUUAUUAAAAACUCAACUCUAAUUUUUAUUAAAGUAGCUUUUAAAAGCAACCUAAAUACUGCUUUUAAAAGCUACUGUCUGGAGUUCGUUGUUAUUAAAAUAAGUAGGAUAUAUUAAUUUUACCAAACAUUUUGUUUACUAUAUAUUAUUUUUACUGAACAUUUUUUUACUACUUAACUUUAAAGAGAAACAAUUUUUAGUAAAAAAACAAUACCAAACGGGGCCUAAGUGUCAUAAUGUAAAUAGUUAGACCUUUUUUUCUUCAAAUAUCUAACUACUUGUAUUGUGAUACGUGAUGUAUUGGAUCAUGCUUUUAAUACACUGAAAAAAUCUCCUUAUGAAGUUAUCGUUUUGUUUCAUAAACAAUUGAUCAAAGUCGCUCCAAUAUUUCUAAUCCCAUUCGGAGACCCACUUUCUUUCGUCCGAGUGUCUUAUGUGCGGGACACGUGUUCAAUAAUUGACUCUUUUUAGCUUGUGGAUUAGUCACCUCCCAUCCCAUGCAGGUACUUUAAUUAAUUUGGUGCACACUGCACGUAGACCCACCAGUCAAUCAGUGUAAUCCUCAAUUUUGAGAUUGUUCUAAUCCUCGUCUCCCCCAUCUCUCUUUGCGAACUUGUUCUUUGCCAAUUUGUUUACAUUAUUUUGCUUGCUUUCUAUCAUUUGUUUAUACAAAAAUGUUAAAAGGUUCACAUUGUGACUAUCUAUUAAAACGUAAUAUUUUAAACUAUUCUAAUUUAAGAUGGUAGCCACACAAAAUUAAGACCUCUAUGUACUUCCAUAUCAUUUAAGCCUAUGGGUGGCCCCACUUGUGUAAAUUUGAACUUGUGUGCAAACAGGAUGACAUAUUACUCUAACCAACUUAUUUAACGUACGUAAUCCGCACCUGACACAUAUUGACCAUAUUCGUUCACGAGUAAUGUAAGUUGGUUCACGAGUAAUGUAAGAUAUCUAGUGGUUUAAUCAUAUUGCAUGAACGCCAAUUGUUGAAUGAAAGAAGGAAGGAAGUGAUUUUAACAAAUCACUUUUUGCUUAUUACACAUCCCUUUUUAUUUAUGGCCACCAGAUUGAAUAAAUCAAACGAAAUCAAUGGUUGAGAUUAUACUAAGGGGUGUAAGAAGUUAAAAGAAAUGUGUCAAAAUCACUUCUCUAAGAAAAAUCUAAUAGUCACAUACAAAUCACAAUCUAACAUAGUGUUUUUUACUGUAAUAUUAAAUUAAUUUUUUUUCAUUCUAUAUAUGUCAAAUUAUAAUUGGCAAAUACGUAAAAAGCCAGUAAUCACGUUGUGAAUGUGAUUUUUUUAAAAAGGAGGUUCCUCUUAGGACUAGCUGAUCUUGUUUAUAAGCUCCACCAUCAUCUCAUUAUCCACCUACCCCUUUGAAUUCACAGUCCCCAUUCUGAUCAUCAACACAAAAACCAUGAAAAUUAAAGGUGCAGAGUUUAGCCAGUGAAACCCUAGACAGCCCCAUCCCAAACCCUAAAACAAGACCUAGCAAGCUUCAGAAAUGUUGCCACCAACAAUGAUGAGCCAGCAGAUGUGGGCAACAAUGGGCUCAACCCUAGCAAGCUUCAUGUUCAUCUGGGCAAUCAUCCGCCAGUACUGUCCGUACGAACUCCGCCACUUCCUGGAGCGAUACUUCCACAGAGUCACCGGCUACUUCUACCCCUACAUCGAAAUUUCCAUCCACGAGUUCACCGGCGACCGCCUCAAGCGAAGCGAGGCCUACUCCGCCGUGGAGGCCUACCUCAGCUCCAACACCUCCAAGAGCGCCAAGCGGCUCAAGGCGGAGAUGGUGAAGGACAGCAGCAACCUCGUCCUCAGCAUGGACGAGUACGAGAGAGCGACGGAUGAUUUCAGGGGGACCAAAGUCUGGUGGGUUUUGUUCAAAUCCGUGUCCCCUGGCGGGAGAUCUAUGUCCAUGGCCUAUUAUCCCGACCAGGAGAAACGAUUUUACAAGCUGACUUUUCACAAAAAGUACCGGGACAUAAUCACGGUGGACUAUUUAAACCAUGUCGUUAAUGAAGGGAAGGAGAUCCGUGUAAGAAAUCGUCAGAGGAAGCUGUACACAAAUAGUCCGGGGUACAAAUGGCCGAGCUACAAGCAGACGAUGUGGAGCCACAUUGUGUUCGAGCACCCAGCAACGUUUGAGACAAUGGCGUUGGAUCCGGAGAAGAAGAAGGAGAUCAUCGAAGAUCUGGUGACCUUCAGCAAAAGCAAGGACUUUUAUGCAAGGAUUGGGAAAGCUUGGAAGAGGGGUUACUUGCUGUACGGUCCUCCGGGGACCGGGAAGUCUACGAUGAUAGCCGCGAUGGCGAAUCUGUUGGGGUACGAUAUUUAUGACUUGGAGCUCACCGCGGUGAAGGACAAUACGGAGCUGAGGAAGCUUUUGAUUGAGACGACGAGUAAGAGUAUUAUUGUGAUCGAGGACAUAGACUGUUCGCUUGAUUUGACAGGGCAGAUGAAGAAGAGAGGGGCGGCGGAGAAGGGUUUUCUGGAGGAGGAGGUGAAAGGUGGAGGAGCCUGGAAGGAGCGGAUUAAGGAGCCGAAAGAGGAAGUGUACGGCGGCAGCAGCAAGGUGACGCUUUCGGGGCUGUUGAACUUCAUUGAUGGGUUAUGGUCUGCUUGCGGAGGUGAGAGGCUGGUUGUUUUUACUACUAAUUAUGUUGAGAAGCUUGAUCCGGCAUUGAUUCGGAGGGGUAGAAUGGACAAACACAUUGCCCUUUCUUACUGUACUUUUGAUGGGUUUAGGGUUUUGGCCAAGAAUUACUUGAGGAUUGAGAGGCAUGAGACGUUUGAUGAGAUAGAAAAGCUGAUGGGAGUGACGAAAAUGACCCCGGCCGACGUUGCUGAGAAUCUUAUGCCAAAGUCACCAAAUGAUGAUCCGGAGAAAUGUCUUUCGAAUUUUAUCCAAGCUCUUGAGGAAGUGAAGGGGGAAGCUGCAAAGAAAAAAUAUGAGGAGAUCAAAGAGAUUGAUACAAGCAAGGAGGAGGAGGUGGCGGUCGAGGAGGAGGAGGGAGGAGGAAACAAAGAGGUUGAAGGUAAGAGAGAUUUGGUUGCCAAUAUAAUUAGGGCAGCUAGGGCAAGUGAGUGAUUAUUUGGGGUUUUUGAGUUUGAUGAUGUCAAUUAAGAUUACCAAUCUCAUUAUUUGGAUAAAAAAAGUUGAGAGUUCAAGCAAAAUGAUUCUAAUUAGAGUUGAUCUAAUCCAAAGCCUUUUCGCUUACUUUUUCAUUUGGUUGAUCUAAUCCAGACACCUUUGUUGUUAAUUUCUAUUAUUUGAUCUUCUUCGAAUCAUUCGAUCUGACGACCAGAAAUUGAGAAGAGUGUGUAAAAAGUAAAAAUUGAUGUGCGGGUAGCACCACCCAAAAUUUAUAAGAAUGCUUUAACACGUUUUGACUCUCAUUGGUAUGAAUUUUUAAUUAUAAGUAUACACAUGUAGCAAACAUGGGUACCAAUAUAUCGAUUCUCACUCGAACGUGUGAUUCAAAUUUAUAGUCUAUUAUCUUUGAAGAUGCAUACUUUACUAAAAUGGUGGUUAUAAAACUUAGUCUUUUGAGGUUAUACGGUUGCGAUGGGCUACCAUCACUUCUAGCAUUUUGUCACUAUAUAUUCAUACUUCAAUAAGGAAAAACAAAUAGUUGGAUCAAAGAUUAAAUUAUUAAAUAUUCGAAGGGAAGGAUCAUAGUUAAUUAAAUCAAGCAAAAAGAUUGUAACUAGAGUUGAUCUAAUCCAAAACUUUUGCUCACUUUUAAUUUGGGUGAUAUAAUAAUAAGUAAAGUUGUUUUUGUUAACAAUAACAAGUACAUAAAGUUUUGUAGGAGUGCUCUAACACAUUUUGACUCCCAUUGGUACGACAUAAAAAUAUAUUUUUCCUUUACGUUCAACCAAAAUAUGUGGAGGACACUCCAAAACACUCCGUCUCUCCAUCAAAAAGCUUUGGUCGUACCCAGUGCACAAAGCUCCCGUUUUACGUAGGGUCUGGGAGUACCGCUCCAAAAUUACCUUUGCCGGUUUGAGAGUUGUGAGUACUGAGCAUGCUUUCUCGACGUUUAUCGUCGUUUUUCCGGGCGUCUUUCGACGUCUCUCCUGUUCUUAUGCCUUCCAUCCUUCUCCUCUUACCUUGGUGUGGAAUUGGACCUCCCACUGUUUGUCUUGAGCCGUUGUGAGACUUUGUAGGUUUUAAGUUUAAUGAAUUUCAGCUUUUCGACCAAACAUAGAGACGAUACACAAAGCUAAUGAGACACUACCAAAUAGAAGACUUUAAAAAGGCAUGAUGGAUGGAACAGUGAAGGAACAAAAGACCACGUGAUGAGUGAUGUGGAGUUUCCAUGGAUUGGUUGCUUGAUGAUCGUUUUGGAUUUUCUUGUUUCACCGGGCGAACGAGAGUGAACCCAAAACUCAUCCAUUUCGAAAGAAACUAAGCCACUUUAUGCAGUGGCCACACAAUUACACCACUUUUCUCUCACAAAAGUGAUCCGAUCCGAUCCAAUCUAUACUAUACUCUAACUCUGUCACCGUAGAAUAACUUAUACAGUACAAAUACAUUAUUAAUAUUACGCAUUUUCGUUGUAUUAUUAACACAUGAUGCUACAGUUACGACCGAGAUGUACAUGUACUAGUACAAGUCGUUUUCCAAUCUCACUAACUCGCUGACUUGCUGAGUUGUGAUACAACAGUUUAGACCAAUUCAUCAGAUAAAACCCAAAAAAGUACCAUAAAAAAAUCAGAUGGUUUAAAGCAAUCGAAGCCCACCACGGCCCUAUGCCAACCAGAAUCCAGGAAAACUUCUUUUGUUGUUUUUCGGAGUGAAAUUUUUCAAAGCAUCUAGGAUUCAAGCGAGUACUUCACUUAUUAUAAAAUAAAUGGAGGGAUACAAAAAAAAUAUGUUAUUUUCUUCAUUUGUAUUGUAACUGAAAAAAACUUUCGUUAAAUAGUGGUGGGUAGGGAUGAUUUUUGUUCGGAUCAAAUCGGAAACAAGCAUUCCAAUACCAAUCCAAAAAAGUUACGAAAUCAAAUAUUAGUUCCAAUUUUGGAGUUUUAGAUUAUCGAAAAUUUCGGAAUUAGUUUUAGGUCAGUUUUUGAAACAUAAUUCUUAUAUUUUGCCAGACUUUGAAAUUUCAAACUUUUGUAAUGGCAUUCAAUAUUUUUUUCUCAAUUUUUUGAAAUAUUUGUAAGCAUUUAUGUGUAUAUGACAUAAAAUCAUAUUACACAAGAUAAAAUAGUACGUAUGAUUAUACUCUUUAUUUAUAAUAUAUAAUAGUAUGAUUAAAUAUACAAAAUUCAAAUAAGAAACAUGCUAAAAUAAGAAUUGUAUGGGUUUUAUUUACAGUACUACAUUUGAGGCCGAGCCUGAUAGUAUAGACUUGUAACUAAAUAGAACAUUAAAGUGAUUAAUUGGUGAUAGUGCCUAAGUCCAAGUGAGGUAUGAUGUUUGAAAUCUGUUUAUCACCAUAUGUUGGUGAGAUCACUCUAAGCAUGCCAUAAGCUAUUCAUGUUAGUACGGCGCCCCCCUCACUACGAGCGGGUAGCAAACAAAAAAAAAGUACUAAGUUUGAGAAAUUAAAGAUCAAAAUUUCAGAAUUUUGAAUCAAUAGGUACAUGUCAAUCGCCAUCCAAAAUUUCAAAAAUAUUCGAACUCAAAAUGGAAAUGGAUUGAAAUAUCCAAUCCAGCUUGCACCGUAGUGGUGGGUAUCGGGCAUAGGACAACUUUUACAUGAAAAUAGUAAGCUUAAUUUUUUAAUGUGUGACAUGAUGAAUCUUUUCUUUUCCAUCAUAGGACAUAAUAUUAAAGGCAUUAUGAAGAAUGAGCUGGCUUUUGGCUUGGCUCUCCUCCUUGAACAUUAUUUAUUCAAACUUUCUUAUGAUGUUUCAAUUCUCUUGUCAUUUUCUUCCAAUAAUGAAUUAUAGCUCUCGUGUGUUUGGGAAAAGAUUGAUGCUUAGACAAAGACAUUUCCUGGUAGCGCAGGGUUAUUAACACACAUCUUUUUAUUUCCUGCAUCCUUAUAUUAAUUUUUAUUUAUUAAUUUUCUUCAAUUUAUUUGAUUUGACAGUUGAAAAUUAUAAGACGUGUGUGAGAAAUAAAAAUAAGUAUGCGAAUAGCAGUACCCAUAUGCCCAGUAACUUUUUAGUUCAAUAGUAUUUUAAAAAAUUAGAAUAGUUAGAAUAUUGACUUGUUGAAAAAGAAAGAAGCGUUUCCUUUGUUAUAUCCAAACAUUAGACCUUAUGGUGAUAACUUCUCUACCCUCACUAUUUGGAUCCCUAAACUACUCGUGCUAAGAUGAGUAUACAUUUAAGAUUUAUUUGAAAGUGCUUUUGAAAUGAUUGAAAGCGUUUUUAUAUAAAAUGUUUUUGAGUUUUAAGAGCAUCUCCAAAGGAGAUGUCAAAAAAUAAAUGUCAAAUGUUAAUUUGAUGGCUGAUGUGGCAAUGUCAGAUUUUCUCUUUUUUCAAACGAUAUGGUUUUUGUUAUAAAUGAUAUUUGUAGGAUCAAUUUUAAAAAGAAAUCAAUUAAAAUACAUUUUUUAAGAUCUAUAAUUGGUACAUUAAUAGGACCCACAUAAUAAAAUAAUUAAAAAAAAAUUGACAUCACCUUUUAUCAUAUGUCAAAUUUGACAUAUGAAAACUCAUAUGUCAAUCCACAUAGGAUUGACAUAUCGGUUGGAACUCACUCAUACCUUCAAAUUUGAUUACAUGGAAUUCCAUUUAGAAUUUGACAUCUCCUUUCGAGAUGGUCUAAAAGCACUAAAAGCGAUUCCUACAAGAAGCACCAGUUAUGUGCUUUUUAUACAAAAUACUUCAAGUAAUUUUCCAAGAUUCAUUUGUAUAUUUUUGUACCACAAUUGUAUAUCACCUUAGGUGGCAUCUGAUGUGGACAGCCACAUCAUUUAAAUUAAUUAGCAUUAAUUUCAAAAUGUUAAUCAAUAAUUAAUAAAAAGAUUGUUAAUUAAAUGAUGAUUGUGGUAUACGAAGAGUCUCCUUCUUUCUUCUAAGAUUAUUUAAGUGUUUUAAUUAAUAAAAAGAUUGAAAUUAAAUGAUAUAGCUUGUUCAACUCAUCUGCCACCUAAGAUGGUAAAAAAAUGUAAUAUAAAAUUAUGGUAAGAAUUGCAUUACUUCUUUACUAAUGAUUGGUUCCAAAAACAGUUUCACAAAAAGCACUUUUAACCAUUUUAAAAACAGUUCCAAAUGAACCCUAAAUAAGUGAGUAAACUGCCAAAAUCCACCUUAAACUUGUCCCCGACUUUCGAUUUUCCCUCUGAAAAACUAAUUCUUUUAACCAAUUUCCCUUAAUAUUGUCCACAUUUCAUCCAAUAUAAAGUUAUGUACAGAACAUGUGAAUGCCUUCAUUUAACAAAAAAUUGGAUUAAACAUGAAGAAAAUAAACAAUAGGAAGAAAAUGGCUAAAAAAUUUAGUUUGAGUUCUUAAUUUUCUUAAAAAAAGGAUUAAGGGUGAAAAUCGAAAGUUGAGAACAAGUUGAGUACAAUACGUAGAAGAAUCAUAUGAAAACUAAUGUUCACAUUUCAAAUAUGCCACACGAAUGCUGGCAUUUCAGAGCAGAGCUUUUCGUGCUCCACUCAUAAACUCCAGACUCCGGUGCAGGAGCGCCGGCGUGCAUAACGCACUCCCGGACUCCGAGAUAGUCACCGUGCUUUCGGUGACUUGAAAACUGUGCCGAGAAAGAGCCAAGAAAUCUAAAAGUUCUGGUAAAAUGAAAUGACAAAUAAGAAAUAAGCCAAUCUGAAUACAAGAUAAGAGCAGUUACCUUCUAAGGGAGGGAGGAUGGUUCCAUUACAACACAGCCAACCCUAAUAUGCUCUCGGACUUGUACGGGAGACCACCAUAUCGGCCGAUACACGAGCACGAGAGAUAAUAAUAAUACUAUACUACAAAAGAUUUCGACUUUUUAACAUCUAAGGCCAAAUCUUUCAGUUACAAUAUUAGCUGAGGGUUAUUGUACAUUGAUCGGAUGAACUAAGCAACUCCCAAACAAGUUCCAUUCACCGGUCCUAGCUCCAUAGGUUUCUUUCGACGUUGACAUACUAAAAAAAAUGACUAUCUAAUCUACAUACCUCUGCGCCUCAUGUCGCUACCCUGUUGCAAAUCUCGCACCAAGGUUGUUGCUGCGUAAAUACACCUAGGAGAACUCUGGCCGCAACUUUCUCCAUGGGAAUAACGCACAAAAUUUAUAAAUUUUACAAUCGUACACCUCGGCUUCCUUGCAAAUCACACCUGUGCUAUCCAGCAGGGGAGGAAGCCUCCAAUCACAAAUCAUCCGCAUCAUCUUUCAUUAUUGAGUUUGGACCGUCGUCAAAACCUGAACCAGGGGCUAGCUCAUUUAGGUCGAGGAAACGUCUUUUCUGUACACCUUCGACUUCAUCUUCCCCUGGGCUAUUUGGUUUUUCAGGUGGCUGGUUUUGCUCUUUCUCAACUGUUGUCUCAGGGUAAUUUUCAACUGCCUGACCAACUUUCAUUUCUUGGUCCUCAAUAUUACCAUCUGAAUCAUGACUUUCCAUUGAAUAAUCCCCGUUUUCACUGGCAUCAUAAUGUCCAUCCGAUGCAUUUGAUUUCUCAGGUUUCAUAGGCUCCGGUUCCGAUUCUGAGAACUCAUAUUGUCGAUAAUCAAUACGAUUUCUGGUGGCCCUCUUACUGCGUCUCAAACCGGACUGGAGCUCAUCAACAGACCUCAAUUUAGCUUCCCUCCUAGUACGGCCUGGCAACUUUUUAAAUUUUCGGGGUUCAUCACUAUCCUCACUGGCACUCGCGGAAUCUUCCAUUUCCUCUUCUUCCUCUUCUUCAGCAUUUUCUUCCUCAAAAUGAUACUCCUCAUCUCCUUCAGAGCUACUAGAAAACUUUCUUCUCUCUUUACGUUUCUUCAAGUAUUCCUCAUCAUAUACAGCCUCACCAACUAUAUCAUCAUCACUGUCAAAGUCUGCAUCAUUAUCUGAAACUGCUUCAACAAAGUCUUUCGCAGAAUACCGUUGGGGCCUCUGUCUUCGCCGAUUGCUACAUGUAAUAAGUAAAAAUCAAUAUAUAAAAAAGUUCAAGGAUUUAAAGAAUACUGAAGACAAAGAAGAAACUUGCUCACCUUCGAUCCAAUUGUUCAGACUUGUUAUCUUCUUCGCCAUCAACAUCAUCAUCAUCAUCAUCAUCAUAAUCAGGUGAUUUAGGCGAUGCAGCACUAAAUCCUACAUGUUCAUAGGAAUUUGUAGUAGCACUCCAUUUACCAUUACUAGAAGCUUCAGGUCUCCCAACUAGCUCUCGUUUCUGUAAAGGGUCUGGAGAUGGCUGCUUCUUUCUGACACAGAAGAACAAUAAAAAUAAGUCAAAAGUCCUAUAUAUUGGUAUUAAAAGAAGUGAGAGAGAGAGAGAGAGAGAGAGAGAGAGAGAGAGAGAGAGAGAGAGAGAGAGAGGGAGAAUAUGAAACCCAUACUUGGUUACUUUGAUUGCCUCAUUGAUGGACCGGUCAUAAUCAUCUGCAAAAUUAUUUGACAAAACAAUCAGAUUCCAUAUACCCAUUGACACAUGGGAAUAACAGUAAGUAUAAACAUCCUGCCCUGAUGUGGCCAUCCUCGAAUUCCCAGAGUUGCUAUUAAAAUCUAGAGCAUUCAGGUAAAACUCAAAUAUAAAAGUCAUGGGAUAUUUCUCAAGAGUAAGCCAGAGAUAUUGCUCAAGAGUAACCACGGGAUAUUGCUCAAACAAACAAUUAGGAAUUUGUAUCACUAGACCACAUUUGAUAAUACGUUAAUCUGAUCAGUUGAUCUCAAUCCAUCACCAGUAAUCCAGAAAUACAACCACAUAAGCCGGUGCCUCACCAACAGCCACAUUUCUCUAAUUAUUAUUUUAAACAAUAACCGGCGUCAAGUUGUUCAAUAUGCAACAGAAUGACACCCAAGAUCUCAAUGGUUAAAUCCUCUAUUAUGGUUAGUAGAAGAUUGGCUUUUAAGCAGAGCAACUGUUAUUGGGAAAACGAAAACAAAGGUAGAAGUUUGUUUCCUUACCAAAAGUGUAGGUUACAGGUUUUCUGUCACGAAGAGAGCGCCCUGGACCAAGCCCAUCCACAGUCAAAAAAUUAUCAAGGAGGAGAGCUUGUCUGUGUUGCUUCUUCAUCUGCCUCUCUUUCCUCUGUGCAAGUAGAAUUGUAAAAAUAGUAUAUGAGAUACAAUUUUUGCUACAGAAUCUCUAUUUGAAAAAUUAUUCUUCAUCCACGAAAAAGACAUAAACCUACGAAGGUUGAAAGGUGGGUCAACUAUCACUGUUGCAUACCUUGUGAACCUUCUCAAUCUCUGCAAGCAUGUCUCCUUUCAACUUCUUCCCUAGAGAAGCCUCCGUUCUAUUCUUACUCGAGAAAAGUUUCUCCUGCGACAGUAGAUGCUUUUAGAUUUGGAGCAGCAACAAAUUCAUCCAAAGUUUUAACAACACUUUUCUUGAAUAAGUUAUCUCCCAUAUACAAGAUAGAAUCUGAUAAAUCUAAUGCUGUUUCCUCAACAUUAUUGGUUUCAGAGGCCCCAGAUCCCAGAAAUACUUGAAUAUACAAACCAAGUCAAAAGUUCAACCCUAAAAGUGUGCAAGGAAAUAUUAAUACAGGGCACAAAAGCACAUACAGAUGGGCUGAGAAAUUUAGUAUCUUACAGAAACAUCUUGGAAUUCAUCGAAAUUGGUUGCUACUGUUUCCCACUGAUAUGACGCACUAGGAAGGACAUGGGAACCUUUUCCUUUUACUUUCUUCAUAUCAACCUUCCUGAUCUCCCGAUAUAACCGAUAACCAAUUAUUGGAUCAUCUUCAUACCUGCAGCAACCACAAACACCCAGUAAAUAAACACUCAAACACAACAGUUCAAUUUACAUUUUACACAAAAACCCUCCAAAAAGAUAGUUGUACUAUAUCUCUGCAACAGUGGAAAGGAUACUUGAUGAACAUUUCAUACGAACCAAACAAAGGUAAACUAAUAUGGAUAUGAUAGAAACUUCAUUAUAUUACCAGUAAGAUAUUCCUUGUGAAUCACCUCCAACACGUUCUUUGCGAAAUGCUGAAUGCUGAACUCCAUGCUUCAGCGAGUUGUCAAUAUAGUUCCGAAUAUCUUCUUGCUGCAAUACAUCACUCAGAUUUAAUCCUUCUCAUAAAGUAACAGAAGCAUAGAAACAUGAUCCAGGAAGUAGGUAAUACCAAAUCAAUUUUCUAGUUAAAAAAACAUGAUUUCCUUGUCAUAAUUCUAAGAUUCAAUUCUGAUAAAAAAAAAACUCUCAAGAAUAUUAAAAAAAAAUACCAUGUCAAUGUAGAAACGGAACUAUCAUCUCAGUUUUCAGAUCAUGUGAAGUCUUUGGUAUUAUUUAAGGACUUGAUAGGGAAUCUCCUGUUAUCACCUAUUAGAGGGGGCAUCCUGCUCUGAAGCAUGCAUUGGAUCUCCAAUAGAUUUUUCAUUUCAAUUUUAAAGUAGUGGUUCUAUAUUAAGAGUUUGGACGUACAAACUAUCAUCUUGCUUGGGCAUUUGACCAAAAGGUUACUAAAAAAUAUUCAACGGAUUCUACAUUAACUUUUACAGAAAAUCAGUAACAAGUUUAAAUCUUAUCAACAAUAACAAUACCUCAACGCGGAUAUCACAAAGUGCUUUCAAGAUGACCACACGGACCCCAGGCUCAAGUGUUUUAUAUGCCUCAAUCUCCGCCCUAUCAAAUUAGCAUGAUGUGACAUUUUUAUAAAUGAAAAAGAUUCAUAUGUAAGAAUAGACAAAUAAACAUGACUGCUCACCCAUGUGAAGCAACAAUGGGUAGAUCCCCCUCUGCAACCUGCAAUUAGAUAUCCAAAUUAAUUAAUAUGAUUCUGCAGAAAUACAAAACAAAUUGGCACCAGCCAAAAUAUUGCCAAAAACUAGUUAUACGAGUACAGUUACCCAAUGCCACCAGUCUCUCAACUUUCUGCAUAAAACAGUGACCCAAGUAUCACGUGUAAGUGCCAUUCGCGUAAUUGGAGGAAUUGCCUGUAGAAUAAACCAAUUAAAAUUCAGGGGUAAGCCAGUAGCAGUUGCAUUGACAAACUAUCAACAAAACAUUAAUUUUCCAGCAGCAUCAGCAUUCCACGGGUUAUAUAAAAUUAAAUUACAAGGAGACAUUUUCUACUCCAUUAGCAACAAUAUGACUUAAAGCAUCCACAUUUAUGCAGUACAAUGGAAAAACUUAAAAUUCCAGACUUAUUACGAUUUUGAAACCCGAAAAUUACCAAAUAAAUAGAUUAAAGCAAAAAAAUAUCAUCUGGCCAAGAGAUCCUUCCCUUUCCAGAGUAUUGACAUAUUCUGAAAAGUUCAAUUAAAUCGUGAACAAUAAGUAGACAAUGAGUAAUAUAUAAUCAAUAAACUUGUAACCAUGACUACGAUCCUCUACCACAAUAGAAAUAGCAGUAACUAUGCGCUAGUGUGAAUAAGUAAUGAAGUUAACGUAUACAGAGAAAAACAGAUGAGAGAAUUGAGGAAGGCCUGGGUAACAAAGAAUUAAUAGCAAAGAUGGUAUUUUUUUUUUUUGGGGGGGGGGGGGGGGGAAAGAAAGAGGGUCCACAUAAUCAACUCUACCCAUUGGGGUAAUGGUUUUGAUUAACUUAAGCAAACUUGUCUAACCACAUUAGUUGGCAAAGGAUUGACUACAACAUUAGUCCUCGCAUAGGACAUGUCUUCUGCAGAAAUUUAGACAAGACUCAAACAAAAAUUAUGCCUCAGCAGCCAAUAAAAGACUAAAAGUUUAAUCAUUCGAGAUUAUAUGACAUGAUACAUGUCACUUGCAUUAAUAUUUUCACAGAAUAUUUAACAACAGCUGAUACAAACCACUCCAAUCACACCAUAAGCGUGUUGCCUAAAGUAAACCUCCAAACUCUUCUUUUAUAUUGAUUUCUUUGAGCUUUAAAGAGUUGUUUGAAAUGACAGGACUCGAGUGUUAAGGUGUUUCAUGAAUUGAGGUUGCUGUUAACAAUUAGAAAACCGCCCCUUCGGGUACAUCCAAUAACAGUUGGAAGAUCCAUAAAACAAUUUUAAUAGCAGAAAUAAUCACCUCCUAGAAAGCAGCUGACUUCAUUCCUACCUACAUUUUAAAGGGAACCUAAAGCUUAUGUACAGACGAAGUUUUCCACUAAGAAACAAGCUAUGAAAACUCUAAAUGGGACUGCUAAGCGAAUUUAACUUUCCGAAGAAAUGCUUCCGAACUUUAAGCAAUAAAAACUAAAAAUUUACAAGCUUUAUAC
rnacentral:lncRNA from 1 species